rnacentral:rRNA from 1 species
UGGGGAAUAUUGGACAAUGGGGGGAACUCUGACCCAGCCAUGCCGCGUGCAGGAUGAAGGCGUUAUGCGUUGUAAACUGCUUUUAUAUAGGAAGAAAUAGUCCUUGCGAGGAAAGUUGACGGUACUAUAUGAAUAAGCACCGGCUAACUCCGUGCCAGCAGCCGCGGUAAUACGGAGGGUGCAAGCGUUGUCCGGAUUUAUUGGGUUUAAAGGGUGCGUAGGCGGUUUAUUAAGUCAGUGGUGAAAGACGGUCGCUCAACGAUUGCAGUGCCAUUGAUACUGGUAGACUUGAGUAUGAUUGAGGUAGCUGGAAUGGAUAGUGUAGCGGUGAAAUGCAUAGAUAUUAUCCAGAACACCAAUUGCGUAGGCAAGUUACUAAGUCAUAACUGACGCUGAGGCACGAAAGUGUGGGUAUCAAACAGGAUUAGAUACCCAGGUAGUCCCUGAGCGGGCUGGCAAGGCGCAU